CUUAGGUGGAGGAGAGGACACCGAGUCGGUGCUCACGACUCACGCAAAGGGCUGCCCUGGGUGCCAUCCACAGGCCAUUUGUUUCUGCCAAAGCAGAGAGAGUGGAGCUGCGGAAAACCGUGGCAGGGGCUGUCACUCUCCCUCCAGCUUAUCAGACGGGGAAAGCCCCCCAAAAGACAAUGCAGCGUGUUAUGGGCCCAGAGCUCCGAGAAUGGUGAAGAAAAUAAUUAGCCUGAAUAAGAAAACAAGGUUUUCUCAAAGAUAGAGACAGGACAAGUGCUACAGAAGAUUGAGAAGUUACAAGGUCCAGAUUUUGAGCUGUGGUCUUUCAAAAUGGAUGUGCUCCUUAAAGGCCAUAGAAUCAGCAGGUUCUUACACAGGGAGUGCCCUGUCAGAGACAGAGAAGAAAGAGAAGCUUGGGACAGUGCAGAUGAUAAAGCUACCAGGAUAAUCUGUCGAUGUGAAGCAGAUGUUUGCUGAAGUCAGAGGUUCUGCAAGGCUACACUGCAAACUGCAAAAAGGAGAAACAGUGAAACUGACUGUUGAAGAUGCAUCAUUUGUGCCCACACUUGAGUCCAGCAUGAUGUCAGUUAAAUAUGCUAUAGAGAAAGGUUAUGAGGUGAAAUUCAAAGAAAAGCAAUGUUUUAUCACAAUAAAGGUGA